rnacentral:rRNA from 1 species
UGGGGAAUUUUGGACAAUGGGCGAAAGCCUGAUCCAGCAAUGCCGCGUGUGUGAAGAAGGCCUUCGGGUUGUAAAGCACUUUUGUCCGGAAAGAAGUCCUUGGCUCUAAUACAGUCGGGGGAUGACGGUACCGGAAGAAUAAGCACCGGCUAACUACGUGCCAGCAGCCGCGGUAAUACGUAGGGUGCAAGCGUUAAUCGGAAUUACUGGGCGUAAAGCGUGCGCAGGCGGUUUGCUAAGACCGAUGUGAAAUUCCCGGGCUCAACCUGGGAACUGCAUUGGUGACUGGCAGGCUAGAGUAUGGCAGAGGGGGGUAGAAUUCCACGUGUAGCAGUGAAAUGCGUAGAGAUGUGGAGGAAUACCGAUGGCGAAGGCAGCCCCCUGGGCCAAUACUGACGCUCAUGCACGAAAGCGUGGGGAGCAAACAGGAUUAGAUACCCUGGUAGUCCACGCCCUAAACGAUGUCAACUAGUUGUUGGGGAUUCAUUUCCUUAGUAACGUAGCUAACGCGUGAAGUUGACCGCCUGGGGAGUACGGUCGCAAGAUUAAAACUCAAAUGAAUUGACGGGGUCAUAGCUGUUUCCU